GAUGAACGCUGGCGGCGUACCUAAUACAUGCAAGUCGAGCGAACAGACGAGGAGCUUGCUCCUCUGACGUUAGCGGCGGACGGGUGAGUAACACGUGGAUAACCUACCUAUAAGACUGGGAUAACUUCGGGAAACCGGAGCUAAUACCGGAUAAUAUAUUGAACCGCAUGGUUCAAUAGUGAAGGACGGUUUUGCUGUCACUUAUAGAUGGAUCCGCGCCGCAUUAGCUAGUUGGUAAGGUAACGGCUUACCAAGGCAGCGAUGCGUAGCCGACCUGGGAGGAUGAUCGGCCACACGGGAACUGAGACACGGUCCAGACUCCUACGGGAGGCAGCAGUAGGGAAUCUUCCGCAAUGGGCGAAAGCCUGACGGAGCAACGCCGCGUGAGUGAUGAAGGUCUUCGGAUCGUAAAACUCUGUUAUUAGGGAAGAAAUAGCCAUCCUUAAUACGGGUGGCGAAUGACGGUACCAUUAGAGAAAGCACCGGCUAAUCUCGUGCCAGCCGCCGCGGUAA
rnacentral:rRNA from 1 species